rnacentral:tRNA from 1 species
CAAAAUAAAGCUAUAGCUUUAGCAUUUCACUUACGUUGAAAAGGUUGUCGAGGGAUCCGAUGUAUUUUGA